UCCGGCUUACACCGGCGGUCUCCUGUGAGUUCCCGACUUUAAUCGCUGGUAACACAGGACGAGGGUUGCGCUCGUUGGCGGACUUAACCGUACACCUCACGGCACGAGCUGACGACAGCCAUGCAACAAGUGUCUUCACGUCUUCCUUUUGGGAAGAGGGCCCGAUUUCUCGGGCUUUCGAUCGAUGUCAAGUCUGGGUAAGGUUCUUCGGUUAGUAUCGAAUUAAUCCACAUGCUCCACCGCUUGUGCGGGUCCCCGUCAAUUCAUUUGAGUUUCAACCUUGCGGCCGUAGUCCCCAGGCGGGAUACUUAGUGCGUUAGCUGCGGCACAGGAGGGGUCGAUACCUCCUACGCCUAGUAUCCAUCGUUUAGGGCGUGGACUAC
rnacentral:misc_RNA from 1 species